GAAGACUUAGGUUAACUAAACCUUGAGCCUUCAAAGCUCAAAAUACAAAUUAGAAUUUUGUAGUCUUUGG
rnacentral:tRNA from 2 species